CUUAACUUUGUGAAUUAUCAAUGAUUAUGUGGUCAAAUUAGAACUGUUAGAUUGGCAUAAUGACCAUAUAGUUGCACACAUACAAAAAUCGUUAGCAUAACUUAUAAUAGAGAAUCAACAUAGAAAACAAUUCUUCGAGUAGCUAUAUAGUCACUCACUGAACUAUGAAAAAGAGUUCAAGACAAUCAUAUCAAAACAAAUAAAUUGUAAUAUUGGAGCAAAAGAUACCAGAUGAACAGC
rnacentral:lncRNA from 1 species